rnacentral:rRNA from 1 species
UACGUAGGGGGCGAGCGUUGUCCGGAUUUAUUGGGCGUAAAGCGCGUGUAGGUGGCCAAGUAGGUCCGCUGUGAAAACUUGAGGCUCAACCUCAAGCUGUCGGUGGAAACCCCUUGGCUAGAGUCCGGAAGAGGAGAGUGGAAUUCCUGGUGUAGCGGUGAAAUGCGCAGAUAUCAGGAAGAACACCAAUGGCGAAGGCAGCUCUCUGGGACGGUACUGACACUGAGACGCGAAAGCGUGGGGAGCGAACAGG